GGAGGUUACAUUUACGUUAAAAAGUUUUAGUGGCCCAAAUAAAUCUGUUACCAUCAAUUUUUUACCUAAUCAUUUUUUGGAUGAAGGCUAACAUCUAUCAUUAUAAGUGAACAUGCUUCAUGUAUUUUAAUUAAACCGUAGAUUUUACGGGCAAAUGUUUCCUUCAUGCGGUUUAUGACACAUGGCAUAUUCUUACAUAUAUCUCUUAUAUACUAAAACACAAGUCACCUUACUUAUCAAUUUAUGACACAUGACAUAUUUUUA
rnacentral:lncRNA from 1 species